ensembl:lncRNA
AGCCAAACCCGCCCGCUGACCACUUCUCUGUUUUCUCUCCCUGAGCCCUGGCUACACUGCCCUUCUUUAUGAUCCUCAGAAGGAGAAAGGGAGCCUGUGGAUCAAGAGGCUGUGCUGUCCACCCUCCACCUUGCUCAGUGUUGCUACUCCUGGAGAGAAGCCGCUUCAGCCUAAGUGAUGCUCCUUAGCUGCGAGUAUUACUGCUUUCAAAGAGGAAAAAGAGGAAUAAUUGGAAUAUUUGGGAUUCCAGAAGUUGUCUUGUACCAGGAAGCCGCUCUCAGCAGUACACCAUUGGUCCUCCAACAUUUGGGAGCCUUCACUGGUGCUGACACUGUGCUCCAUGCUGAGGACCCCCAGAAGGAAUGGAGGCAGACAACAGACUUAAAGAAGCAAGAUGGUUGGCCAUCUUGUGCAGGAUGACCAGCAACUUGGACAAGGGAGUGAA